GGGUCUAUAGCUCAAGUGGUUAGAGCAGCACACUCAUAAUGUGAAGGUUUAGGGUUCAAAUCCCUAUUGACCCAC
rnacentral:tRNA from 1 species